rnacentral:sRNA from 1 species
AGACUGUCUUCUGAAGAUUGAUGUCUAUUUCCUUGAGCUCUUUAAUUUUGUUGCCUAUUUGGAUAAACAUGGCACAAAUCCAGCAGGGAGGUCCAGAUGAAAAAGAAAAGACUACCGCACUGAAAGAUUUAUUAUCUAGGAUAGAUUUGGACGAACUAAUGAAAAAAGAUGAACCGCCUCUUGAUUUUCCUGAUACCCUGGAAGGAUUUGAAUAUGCUUUUAAUGAAAAGGGACAGUUAAGACACAUAAAAACUGGGGAACCAUUUGUUUUUAACUACCGGGAAGAUUUGCACAGAUGGAACCAGAAAAGAUACGAGGCUCUAGGAGAGAUCAUCACGAAGUAUGUAUAUGAACUCCUGGAAAAGGAUUGUAAUUUGAAAAAAAUAUCUAUUCCAGUAGAUGCCACUGAGAGUGAACCAAAGAGUUUUAUCUUUAUGAGUGAGGAUGCUUUGACAAAUCCACAGAAACUGAUGGUUUUAAUUCAUGGUAGUGGUGUUGUCAGGGCAGGGCAGUGGGCUAGAAGACUUAUUAUAAAUGAAGAUCUGGACAGUGGCACACAGAUACCGUUUAUUAAAAGAGCUGUGGCUGAAGGAUAUGGAGUAAUAGUACUAAAUCCCAAUGAAAACUAUAUUGAAGUAGAAAAGCCGAAGAUACACGUACAGUCAUCAUCUGAUAGUUCAGAUGAACCAGCAGAAAAACGGGAAAGAAAAGAUAAAGUUUCUAAAGAAACAAAGAAGCGACGUGAUUUCUAUGAGAAGUAUCGUAACCCCCAAAGAGAAAAAGAAAUGAUGCAAUUGUAUAUCAGAGUGAGUGAGAUCACUACUUUCCUUUGCUAUUUUCUUUACCUUGUAUAUAUUUUAUUUUAUAGAGAUUGUUUUGUUUUUCUUCAAGAAUAUUAAUUUUUUUAUUUUUCAUCAUUUAUUUCCCAUGGUUGUCUCCUUGGAUCAAAUGGGUUUUUUAAUUCA